UGCUGUAGCUCAGUUGGUAGAGCAACUGAUUCGUAAUCAGUAGGUCGGAGGUUCAAGUCCUCUCAGCAG
rnacentral:tRNA from 1 species